AUCAACCUAAGCCUCCAUCCAUAUGCACUCCUGAGCUCUGGGGCAUUUCGGUUACACCAUUUCGCUGACCAGGCGGAUCUGCCAGGGCGUUCAGAAAAUAGUCAGCAGCAGACAGCCCAGUCCGAAGCCACUCCCCCCACACCCCUUCAACCUACCCUCUGCGUCCUUUGUUCUUUCUCCCACCCACCCUGCGGUCCCACCAAAAAUAAACGCAUACACAAAUAUUUAACGGGAAGGAGAAAUGAGUUUCUAAAUAUUCCGGGGGGAUUUGCCGGGCUGGUAAUUUGUUUGGUGCUGAUAAUUGCAUCUUACAUUUUUCUAGCUUUACUUAAAACUGUGUGCCGGGUGUGCCAGCAUUUAAUUACUGCUCUGCGGCAGCCACAAGGUUAUUUAUUAAAGAGUUAUUUUAUCUUGAUACAGUGGAUCCUGCCCCUUAUCCCCUCCUUAAUGUUGUGUUAUUUUCAUCAGAGAAAUUUCCGCAAGUGAAUGCAGAUUGUGGGGCUACCUCCCCCUGCGAUUAGGCUGUCACUCCACUGAAUGCUGAUCCCUCCAGGCGCUGCACCACCCUGUUAUAGGGGGUUGUCAGCGCAAAUAAUUAGACUUAAAAGUUACAGCUGAAAUAUAAUCCAGAAAUGGCAGGGCCCUGUUUUGGAAAUUGUCUAUAAAAUGUCAGCAGUAAGGAUGCACAGGGAACGGUAAUAGACCGGCAUUGUUGGAGCCUGAGAUUAGACCCUAAGUGCAUUCCCCAGCUCCAGUUUU
rnacentral:lncRNA from 1 species